rnacentral:rRNA from 1 species
UCGAGUUUGGUAAUAGCUGGUUCUUCCCGAAACAGCUUUGGGGCUGGCGUCUCCAGCCAAAAUACGGAGGUAGAGCACUGAAUAGAAUUCCUUGGAGUUUCUCCAGGUCUUCUAAUCAAACUCCGAAUGCCGUAUUUUUUGUGGAGGCAGUUAGACUGCGGGGGCUAAGCUCCGUGGUCAAAAAGGAAACAGCCUAGAUCGUUGUCUAAGGUCCCUAAAUUAGACUAAGUGUUAUGAAGGAAGUGUUUUGCCCUCGACAGGCAGGAAGUUAGCUUAGAGGUAGCUAUCUUUUAAAGAGUGUGUAACAACUCACUGUCCAAACUUUCCGGAUUUCCGGAGAGAAGGGCGAGAUGCGCCAAAGAUUUCCGGGGCUAAAGUUUAAUACCGAAGACAUGGAUGUCAAUAAUUUAUUAUUGGCGUGGUAGGGAAGCAUUCUUAUCGCUGCGAAGCAGGAGGGGAACCGACUGUGGAGCGUUAAGAAGAGAGAAUGUUGGCCUGAGUAACCGCAUUGCGGAUGAAAGCUCCGCACACCGAAAGUCCAAGGUUUCCUUGGCAAUGGUAUUCAACCAAGGGUUAGGCGGUCCUAAGGUGAACCCGAAAGGGGUAACUGAUGGACAGUUGGUUAAUAUUCCAACCCUUCUUUAUUUUUUCGACAAAGUGCGCAGUGCUGUAAUCCUGGCGGAUUAUUGGAUUUCACGUUCUUGGUAUGAGGAGCAAUCCGAGUACACAGAAAAUUCGGCCUCGGCUGGAAAUUGGGACGAGCGCGCUGCCUAGAAAAGCUUUGAAGAGCUAAGGAUAAAGAAUCCGUACCGCAAACCGACACAGGUGGACAAGCGUAAGUAUGCUAAGGUGAACGGGUGAGACCUCGUUAAGGAACUAGGCAAACAAGUGGAUGUAAGUUCGCAAUAUAUCCUGCCCUUGUCAGCAAUGGCAUAGGGCUGCAACAACCGUACUUCUACCGACUGUUUAUCAAAAACACAGCUCCCUGCUAAACUCGUAAGAGGAUGUAUAGGGGGUGAGGCCUGACCAGUGCUGGAAUGUUAAGUUUGGGGGUCCAGGGCGCAAGCUUUGGGCUCACUGAAUGAAGCACCAGUGAACGUCGGCGAUAACUAUAAUCGUCCAAAGGUAGCGUAAUCCCUUGCCGGGUAAGUUCCGGCCCGCAUGAAUGGCUUAACGAGUGGAAGACUGUCUCAACGAGGCGCCCGGUGAAAAUGCAAUACCAGUGAAGAUGCUGGUUACCUGCGGCUAGACGAAAAGACCCCGGAAGCUUUACUGUAGUUUGAUAUUGGAUUAUGGUUUUCAAUGCGUAGCGUAGUGGGGAGCCUUCGAAGCAUCACUCUCGGGUGGUGUGGAGGCGCCAAUGAAACACCCAUCUUUGGGAAUUAUAAUUCUAAUCCUAUUUACUUAGGUGACAGUGUUAAAUGGGCAGUUUAAGUGGGGCACUUUUCUCCUAAAGAGUAAUGGAGAAGUUCAAAGGUUGGCUAGCUUCGGAUGGAAAUCGAAGCGAUAGGGCAAAGCCAUAAGCCAGCUUUACUGCAAGACGGCUAUGUCGCGCAGUUGGGAAACCAGGACUUAGUGAACCGACUUGUUUUUAUAGAAAACAAGAAGAUCAUCAGCCAAAAGCU